rnacentral:rRNA from 1 species
GAUGAACGCUGGCGGCGUGCCUAAUACAUGCAAGUCGAGCGAACAGACGAGGAGCUUGCUCCUCUGACAUUAGCGGCGGACGGGUGAGUAACACGUGGAUAACCUACCUAUAGGACUGGGAUAACUUCGGGAAACCGGAGCUAAUACCGGAUAAUAUAUUGAACCGCAUGGUUCAAUAGUGAAAGACGGUUUUGCUGUCACUUAUAGAUGGAUCCGCGCCGCAUUAGCUAGUUGGUAAGGUAACGGCUUACCAAGGCAACGAUGCGUAGCCGACCUGAGAGGGUGAUCGGCCACACUGGAACUGAGACACGGUCCAGACUCCUACGGGAGGCAGCAGUAGGGAAUCUUCCGCAAUGGGCGAAAGCCUGACGGAGCAACGCCGCGUGAGUGAUGAAGGUCUUCGGAUCGUAAAACUCUGUUAUUAGGGAAGAACAAAUGUGUAAGUAACUAUGCACGUCUUGACGGUACCUAAUCAGAAAGCCACGGCUAACUACGUG